GACGAACGCUGGCGGCGUGCUUAACACAUGCCAGUCGAACGGAAAGGCCCUGCUUUUGUGGGGUGCUCGAGUGGCGAACGGGUGAGUAACACGUGAGUAACCUGCCCUUGACUUUGGGAUAACUUCAGGAAACUGGGGCUAAUACCGGAUAGGAGCUCCUGCUGCAUGGUGGGGGUUGGAAAGUUUCGGCGGUUGGGGAUGGACUCGCGGCUUAUCAGCUUGUUGGUGGGGUAGUGGCUUACCAAGGCUUUGACGGGUAGCCGGCCUGAGAGGGUGACCGGCCACAUUGGGACUGAGAUACGGCCCAGACUCCUACGGGAGGCAGCAGUGGGGAAUAUUGCACAAUGGGCGGAAGCCUGAUGCAGCAACGCCGCGUGCGGGAUGACGGCCUUCGGGUUGUAAACCGCUUCCGCCUGUGACGAAGCGUGAGUGGCGGUAAUGGGUAAAGAAGCACCGGCUAACUACGUG
rnacentral:rRNA from 1 species